UGAGGUAAUGGCUCACCAAGGCGACGACGGGUAGCCGGCCUGAGAGGGCGACCGGCCACACUGGGACUGAGACACGGCCCAGACUCCUACGGAAGGCAGCAGUGGGGAAUAUUGCACAAUGGGCGAAAGCCUGAUGCAGCGACGCCGCGUGAGGGAUGACGGCCUUCGGGUUGUAAACCUCUUUCAGCAGGGAAGAAGCGAAAGUGACGGUACCUGCAGAAGAAGCGCCGGCUAACUACGUGCCAGCAGCCGCGGUAAUACGUAGGGCGCAAGCGUUGUCCGGAAUUAUUGGGCGUAAAGAGCUCGUAGGCGGCUUGUCACGUCGGUUGUUAAAGCCCGGGGCUUAACCCCGGGUCUGCAGUCGAUACGAGCAGGCUAGAGUUCGGUAGGGGAGAUCGGAAUUCCUGGUGUAGCGGUGAAAUGCGCAGAUAUCAGGAGGAACACCGGUGGCGAAGGCGGAUCUCUGGGCCGAUACUGACGCUGAGGAGCGAAAGCGUGGGGAGCGAACAGGAUUAGAUAC
rnacentral:rRNA from 1 species